CAGAAAUCCCUAGGCAGGAACAAAGUGACUCUGAAGCCAGAUUGCAGCCAACCUUCAGGGGCCAGGUCACCAGAGAGGAACCUUGGUCUCAGGUCAAGCUGAGAGAACACAGGCCAGUCAUACCAGCCUCAGACUUCAGCAGCGGCCACCAGCAGCAUGCCCGGGGCAGAAGCAGGGCAGCCAGAGCUCAGAGGACAGCAGCCAGCAUGUGGCCGGGGACACCACAGAGAGCACAGCAAAGCUCCUCCCUCACCCAGCUGCUGCCCAAAAGGGAGAGGAGAAUUCUGAAAGUCUGAGCAUGUACUGAAGGACUGAGUCACCCAAAAGAAACCAUUCAAACAAGCUCUGAUUCAUGUGGUACAAGUGGUUUGUGGCCAAAGUGCAGACUGCUUGAUUAUGUGCCAUCAUCCAUAUUCACCAGCACUCUGAGAAGCAAUAAGUUACUUGGUAAUGGUAAACAGCACUCGUGAGGAAACCACUUCAAAAAACUCAGGGGACACAGGUUCAAGCCCUGGUCCAGGAAGAUCCCACAUGCCACG